rnacentral:lncRNA from 1 species
UGUUAGUGUAUAAGCUAUUGAGCUUACAUGAAUAUUAGAAGUAAAUAAGUCUUGUGUCUAAUUGUGUAUUCACUUUGGUAAUUAAACCAAGUGUAGAGGUCAUAUUGUAAAAAGGGUUUUGUAACAGGUGUGAAGAUCUCCUUGUGUCCAUCUAGAUGUGUGGCAGAGAUCAUUCUCUUUUUAUUAUGCUUUGUAACCCAACCGUUGUGCACAGUGUGUGCGUGUGAAGCAAUAUAUGCAGUUUUACUCUGUGUGCAAGUUUCAACAGAGAGCACCACCAUCAUAAUCUUCUCUCCAUUGUAUUUGAGUUUUUGAGCUUAUCCUUAUUCCUACUUCUCAUCCAACUAAAAACACUUCAAUUAGAACUUUAACAUGGCCUCAGAGCCUGGUUCGAUCAUUUGAGAUCUGGGCGUAAAAAUCAAUCGAGCUACACUUGAGCUCGUUUCAGAUUGAGCGACAUUGCCGGAAUUCCAUAAAACUCGAUUUCGAUUUGUAUUCGCAUCAUCAAAGCUCGAAGAUGGCUGGAUCUGGAAGUUCUGAGGUGAGAACUCCGAUCUUCUCCGAUGAGAACUACGAGUUCUGGAGAAUCAAGAUGGUGACGAUCUUCAAAUCUCAUGGGUUAUGGAAAUUAGUUGAAAAAGGGAUUACGAUCUCAGAAACAAAGAAGAAGAAGAAGGCUGAAGGAAGCUCAGAAGAAGAAGAAGACGAUGAGAAAAUGGUCGCAGCAUAUAUGCAGGAUGCAAAAGCUCUGGGUAUUAUCCAGAACGCAGUCUCAGAUCAGAUAUUCCCUAGAAUAGCCAAUGCAGAUUCUGCGAAGAUGGCAUGGGAUCUGCUAUAUGGUGAGUACCAUGGUGGUGAUCAGGUAAGAUCUGUGAAACUACAAAAUCUGAGACGUGAAUUUGAGUAUGCUAGGAUGCGUGAUGAUGAAACUCUGUCUGGGUAUCUUACUAGGCUAAAUGAAUUGAUCAAUCAGAUGAAAACAUUUGGUGAGAUUCUGUCUAAUGAAAGGCUUGUACAAAAAGUUCUCAUUAGUCUCAAUAAACCAUAUGAUCCCAUAUGUCUAGUUAUUGAAAAUACCAAGUGCUUAGAAACUGUAGAACUGCAGGAGGUUGUAGCAAUUUUGAAGAGUCAAGAACAACGAUUUGAUUUGCAUAGUGUUGAUGUCACUGAAAAUGCUUUUGCCUCAUUCUCUGUGAGUCCAAAAGGACAAACCAGUGGAAAUGCUCAAUCUGGUACAUUCAAAUCCUAUAAGCACUUGAAUUCGAAGGGAAAGAAAUGGGAAUCUAAGCCUAAGUUUCAACAGAGGUCAUUCACUAAUCCUACACAGAACUCAAACUCUUCUGGGUAUGUGAAGCAAGAUGCAGUUAAACCACAGUGUAGAGUGUGUUCCAAAUUCCAUUUUGGUGAAUGUAGAUAUAAGGGGAAACCUAAGUGUUAUAAUUGUGAUAAAUUUGGUCAUUGGGCUAGAGAAUGCACUGUAGGGAAGACUGUGCAAAAGGCAAACUCUGCAAAUCAGGUGGAAGUGACAGGGAAUUUGUUCUAUGCUAAUAGUGCGAUCUCAGAGUCAAAUGUCAAUGGAAACUGGUAUAUUGAUAGUGGUUGUAGUAACCACAUGACAGGAGAUGCUAAUCUGCUUGUUGACAUAAAAAACAAAUGUUGCUGGAAAAGUGCAAAUGCCUACUGGUGUGUUAGUGAAUGUUGCUGGAAUGGGUUCAUUGGAAAUAGACACUAAUAGAGGCAAGAAGUAUAUCAGGGAGGUUAUGCAUCUGCCAGGAUUAAAGGAAAACUUACUGAGCGUUGGGCAAAUGGAUGAGCAUGGAUACUAUCUCUUGUUUGGAGGAGGCUUGUGUAGUGUAUUUGAUGGACCUACUCUUGAUAAUCUUGUGAUCAAAGUUAAGAAGAAGGAAAACAGAUGUUAUCCCCUUUCUCUGUGGAAAAACAGCCAACUUGUUCUGAAAGCUAGCACCGAUUCAAAUUCUACCUGGAUUUGGCACAAGAGAUUAGGACAUCUAAAUCUCAGAAGCCUUAAACAACUCAGAGAAAAUGAAAUGGUACAUGGUCUUCCACAGCUUGAAAACAUUGAUGGUGUAUGUGAAGGAUGCCAGUUUGGGAAACAACAUCGUGAUUGGUUUCCAAAAAGAGAAAGCUUGGAGAGCAAGCAGUCCUCUAGAGCUUAUACACACUGAUUUGUGUGGUCCUAUGCAAAAUGAAUCAAUUGCUGGGAAUAAGUACUUUAUGCUUCUCAUUGAUGACUAUACAAGAAUGUCAUGGGUUUACUUCCUAAGACAAAAAUCUGAGGCUCUAACUUGUUUCAAGAAGUUUAGAGCCAUGGUAGAAUUACAGAGUGGUUUCAAAGUAAAGUGCCUAAGAAGUGACAGAGGAGGUGAGUUUGUAUCAAAUGAAUUCAACCAAUUCUUAGAGGCUGAAGGAAUACAAAGACAACUGUCUAUGGCCUAUACUCCACAGCAAAAUGGAGUAGUGGAGAGGAAGAAUAGAACAGUUGUAGAGAUGGCCAAGACAAUGCUUCAUGAUAAAAGCAUGCCAUAUUUUCUGUGGGCUGAGGCAGUGCAUACAGCAGUGUACAUUCUAAACAGAUCACCUACAAAAGCACUGGAUAAUCUGACACCAUUUGAGGCAUACAGUGGCAGAAAACCAGGAAUUGGUCACCUAAAAGUAUUUGGAUCAAUCUGCUAUGUGCAUAUACCAUCUGAAAUGAGACAGAAACUAGAUGCUAAGAGUGUCAAAUGUGUGUUUGUUGGAUAUGCUACAUGUGAGAAGGGAUACAGAGUGUUUGAUCCAUGCACUAAGAAGUUAAUUCUUUCAAGAGAUGUAGUUUUUGAUGAAACUAUGACCUGGAAUUGGAAGGAACAUUCAGAGAACUCUGUUGCUGUGACCCACAUUCAGAAUUCACAUGGGUUGGGUGAGAUUCAAGAUUGUGCCUCCAGUUCCUCUACAUUCUCUCAUACUGAAGAACAAGAAAGCAGCAUUCAAGAAUCUGUUUGAGAUUUCCUCAGUCUUAUGAUCAUACUCCAGUGAAAUGGAGAAGCAUAAAUGAUAUUAUGGCACAGUGCAAUUUGUGUAUUGUGGAACCUGAAAAAUUCGAAGAAGCUGCUCAAGAUCAAGCUUGGAUAAACGCUAUGGAAGAAAGAACUGACCAUGAUUGAGAAGAAUAGAACUUGGGAAUUGGUGGAUAGACCAAGUGAUAAACAUGUUAUUGGGGUGAAAUGGGUAUUCAAAACCAAGUUGAACUUGGAUGGAUCAGUACAAAAGAACAAGGCACGACUAGUUGCCAAGGGGUAUGUGCAGAAACCAGGAAUUGAUUACAAUGAGACCUUUGCUCCGGUUGCUAGACUAGAUACAAUUCGGACUUUGAUAGCUCUUGCUGCACAGAGAAGCUGGAAAUUAUAUCAACUUGAUGUUAAAUCUGCAUUUCUGAAUGGACAACUGCAGGAAGAAGUCUAUGUUGAACAACCCGAAGGAUUUGUGAUUAAUGGUAAAGAAGAUAAAGUCUACAGAUUGUAUAAGGCUCUGUAUGGAUUGAAGCAGGCACCUAGAGCCUGGUAUGGAGAGAAUUGAUAGUUAUUUCACUCAGUGUGGAUUCAUAAAGAGCUUGAGUGAAGCAACUAUUUAUACUAAGACAAGGGGAGAUAAGGAUAUCCUAAUUGUCUCUAUCUAUGUUGAUGACAUAGUAUACACUGGAAAUAACCAGGAGAUGCUGGAUGAGUUCAAAGAAGACAUGAAAGAUAAAUAUGAGAUGACAGAUCUCGGGGUACUUCAUCAUUUCUUGGGGAUGGGGGUUAUACAAACAGAUACUAGCAUUUUUAUCCAUCAAAGGAAGUAUGCUUCUUCCUUAUUGGAUAAAUUUGGUCUAAAGGAGUGUAAACCUGUCUCCAUACCUCUCAUUACUUCUGAGAAAUUAAGUAAAAGAUGAUGGAAGUGGUGCAGCAAAAUGAGGAGCAGUACAGGAAGAUUGUAGGAAGUCUGUUGUACCUCACUGCCCACAAGGCCGGAUAUAAUGUAUGCAGCUAGUUUAUUAGCUAGAUAUAUGCAUUGUCCUACCAAUAAACACUAUGGAACAGCUAAGAGAGUGCUCAGAUAUGUUAGGGGCACAUUGGACUAUGGUUUGAAGUAUGAGAAAGGCAAGAAGGCAGUCUUAAUUGGUUUUUGCGAUAGUGACUGGGGAGGAUCUCUUGAAGACAGCAAAAGCACCUCAGGCUAUGCAUUUUUCUUUUGGAAGUGGAGUGUUCUCAUGGGCCUCUGUGAAACAACACUGUGUUGCUCUUUCUACUGCAGAAGCCGAGUAUAUCAGUGCUUCUGAAGCCACAGCUCAGGCCAUAUGGCUCAGAUUUGUUCUGGAAGAUUUUGGAGAGUUACAAGUUGAUGCAACCCCUCUGCAGUGUGAUAACACAUCUGCAAUCUCAAUAUCCAAGAACCCUGUGUUUCACCAGAAGACAAAACACAUUGAUAGGAGAUAUCACUUCAUCAAGGAUGCCUUGCAGCAAGGGAUAAUUGACUUGGUUUACUGUCCUACCAAAGAACAAGUGGCAGACAUUUUCACCAAGGCAUUACCAAAGGACAGAUUCAACUAUCUCAGGGACAAACUUGGAGUUAUAUCAGCUCAAAGCUUAAAGGGGAGUGUUAGUGUAUAAGCUAUUGAGCUUACAUGAAUAUUAGAAGUAAAUAAGUCUUAUGUCUAAUUGUGUAUUCACUUUGGUAAUUAAACCAAGUGUAGAGGUCAUAUUGUAAAAAGGGUUUUGUAACAGGUGUGAAGAUCUCCUUGUGUCCAUCUAGAUGUGUGGCAGAGAUCAUUCUCUUUUUAUUAUGCUUUGUAACCCAACCGUUGUGCACAGUGUGUGCGUGUGAAGCAAUAUAUGCAGUUUUACUCUGUGUGCAAGUUUCAACAGAGAGCACCACCAUCAUAAUCUUCUCUCCAUUGUAUUUGAGUUUUUGAGCUUAUCCUUAUUCCUACUUCUCAUCCAACUAAAAACACUUCAAUUAGAACUUUAACAUAUAUUGGCAGACAAUGAACGGCAUAGUCCAAAUCCUCUAGUAAUAAAUUGGUUACGAUAUUGUAUUGACAAGUAAAUAUUAUAACGUUUUGACAAGUUGAAAAUUUUAAAAUUAAUCUAACUUGGUAAUUGAUCAUA